rnacentral:tRNA from 1 species
GGCUCGAAAAUCUAACUGGUUAAUAAGCGUGUAGAAAGCUGCUUUGCGCUUUCGCUGGACGCGAGUUCGAAUCUCGCCGCCUCCA